CUUCUUGACUUCGGAGUAGAUGCAGGAGACGGGUUGAUUCUCGUGGUCUUUUUCCUCUCGAGGAACCUAGCCCAGGAACAUCCCGUGGUUUCAUAUCAAAUUGAAGCAACAAAGAACCCCUGUGUCACCCCUUCUCUAACCCCCAUCCCCAUCUUUGGAGACACUCCGGGAGGGGACAGGGACCCCGGUGACUCCCUAGAACCAGCGCUCUUAGGGCAAGGCAGAGGUGGGAGACAACCCGGUCUUCAGGCCAGUGAAGUGAUGCCUCAGUCUGAUUGUGUUUGAAGAUUUGCUGGGGCUAUUGUGUGACAACUGAGGGCAAAGAAGGGAAAACAGAAGCAAAGAAAACUGUUUCAAAAGUCUUGGAAUUGCUACUGUUAAAAGGCUGCGGUUCAUUUCUGAUUUCCUCAUCUUUUGCUACAAAGGAAAAAGAAAUCCAAUGAUGUGUCUGCAUUUGAUGAGGAGAAAACACGAACGACAGCAGUGUAGGCAGAACCUGCAGGCUGUUCAGAAUUCAAUUUUCUGGAUAUUGGCAUGCUAUAUUCAAUGUCCAGAUACAUUCAGUGU
rnacentral:lncRNA from 1 species